rnacentral:rRNA from 1 species
UACGGAGGAUGCGAGCGUUAUCCGGAUUUAUUGGGUUUAAAGGGUGCGUAGGCGGGCUAUUAAGUCAGUGGUGAAAUCCUGCAGCUUAACUGCAGAACUGCCGUUGAUACUGAUAGUCUUGAGUUUGGUUAAGGUAGGCGGAAUGUGUCAUGUAGCGGUGAAAUGCUUAGAUAUUACACAGAACACCAAUUGCGUAGGCAGCUUACUAGACCAAUACUGACGCUCAUGCACGAAAGCGUGGGGAUCAAACAGGA